rnacentral:misc_RNA from 1 species
GAUAAAGAACGCAGCGAAAUGCGAUAAGUAAUGUGAAUUGCAGAAUUCAGUGAAUCAUCGAAUCUUUGAACGCACAUUGCGCCCGCUAGUAUUCUGGCGGGCAUGCCUGUCCGAGCGUCAUUUCAACCCUCAAGCCCCCGGGCUUGGUGUUGGGGAUCGGCGAGCCUCCGCGCCCGCCGUCCCCUAAAUCUAGUGGCGGUCUCGCUGUAGCUUCCUCUGCGUAGUAGCACACCUCGCACUGGGAAACAGCGCGGCCACGCCGUUAAACCCCCAACUUCUGAACGUUUGACCUCGGAUCAGGUAGGAAUACCCGCUGAACUUAAGCAUAUCAAUAAGCGGAGGA